GGCAUCGUAGCUUAGUGGUAAAGCGCCAGACUUGUAAACUGGAGAUCGGUGGUUCGAGUCCGCCCGGGGCCU
rnacentral:tRNA from 1 species